rnacentral:rRNA from 1 species
UACAGAGGUCCCAGGCGUUGUUCGGAUUCACUGGGCGUCAAGGGUGCGUAGGCGGUCGGGUCAGUCUGAUGUGAAAUCUCACAGCUUAACUGUGAAACUGCAUUGGAUACUAUCCGGCUCGAGGAAUGGAGGGGAGACUGGAAUACUUGGUGUAGCAGUGAAAUGCGUAGAUAUCAGGAGGAACACCGGUGGCGAAGGCGGGUCUCUGGGCCGAUACUGACGCUGAGGAGCGAAAGCGUGGGGAGCGAACAGG